rnacentral:rRNA from 1 species
UGACCAGACUUGCGCCUGUUCGAUCAUCCGUCACUCGGCGGUGCACUCGUUCAGGUUCAGGCCAGCAUCAGUUUGCCCCGGGGGAUAAAGGCUUUGGGAAUGUGGCUCCCUCGGGAGUGUUAUAGCCCAUUGCACAAUACCCUGGGGCGGACUGAGGUUCGCGCAUCUGCAAGGAUGCUGGCGUAAUGGUCAUCAGUGA